AAGUCACAAAAGUCUUCCUAACUCUGUCUCCUAAAGGCAGGGGUUACAGAUGUAGACCGCCAGCCGGACGUGGUGGCACACGCCUGUAAUCCCAGCACUUGGGAGGCAGAGGCAGGCAGAUUUCUGAGUUCGAGGCCAGCCUGGUCUACAGAGUGAGUUCCAGGACAGCCAGGGCUACACAGAAAAUCCUGUCUCGAAAAACAAAGCAAAACACAACAAAACAAAAAGACCAAAACGAAACAAACAAAAAAACCCUAAAAUUGUCCUAGCUGUGCGACUUCGAAUGACCUCUGUAGUCAGUGCAAAUCUGUGACAAAAAUCAUGGCAAAACCAUGAGUGAUGCUUAACUAACCAAGCUCAGGUUGAAGGAAGAGACUUGAGGGAUUCACGUCUGAGCGGGCGGUGAUUUGUGCCCAUGGUUCCGCCCCCUGACAAGGGUAAGUUUUCUGACUUAAGGGUCAUUUAAGUUUUUUUAUUUUCUAGCUUCCUGUGAGACCAGGACAGGACACAGAAGAGGAAGCAGGCAGCUGAGUAUGUCCCAGAGACGCUCAAGAAGCCCAAAAGAAACUACAAGAAGGCUCAGUGGUCGCGGUGUCUGGCUUUUCCCUUAGAAGCGCUAGUUGACCAGUUCUCAAUCGAGUCCCAGUCUCACUAGUUUCAGUGGCUGACAAUGAAAGAGGGUUCAGCCCGGGGCGUGGCUCGGCAGUCGAGGCUGACUUAGGGUGGAGAGAAGCCAUGAAGCUCACAGAGAAGACCUUCUUCCUAUGCUGGAAGGAGCCCAGACAUCUACGCAAACUCACCAGCUCCGUAAACGGACCAGUGUCUGCGAGUUCCUGCUCCCAUCUUACUGUUUCUAACCCAUGUAGUCUAAGAGUGUCUAAGUGUCUAAAAGUGUCUCCUUUUCCACGGGUUCGCAACCAUCCUAUGCUGGGAUCCUUUAAUACAGUUCCUCAUAUCGUGGCCAUCCCCCAACCCUAAAAUCAUUGUGCUGCUUCCUUGUAACUGUCAUUUUGCUACUGUUAGGAAUUGUAAUGUAAAUAUCUGUAAUGUAAUAAAUAUAAAUAGCAUGACCCAAAGGGGUUUCCACCCACAGGUUGAGAACUGCUGUUCUAGGGGCUUCAUUCUUCCUGCGAAGGCGCUUACGACCGUGUAAUUGAAGUCAACCAGCCUUUCCCUUGUUACUCGGCCGUACGUCAGUUCCA